GUGACUCUUUAAUGGGAUCAGCAAUCCAAGGAAGAGAAGGAAACAGCAGGGGAGAAAUGGACCUGAAGCUUACCCUUUUCACCACUGUGCCUUUUGAAGUUUCUCCUUCCCACAAUUCUGCUAAAAAGUUCUCUUCAAGCACACUCCAUCCAGAAUCAACAACAUAAUUCAGCCCAUUUCCAGUGCAAAAAGGCCAAGAAUAUGAGGAUAAUUCUUGGCUACUGCAGAAGGAAGAUUAUGCCUAGGACUAAGAUUCAUCCUAGUGUUCUUUUCUAUUUUUAUUGAUAAGCCUUUUUGAGGAAAGGGCAGGCCCAGGAAAUUGUGCUCUAGUUAAAGCCAGCAGAAAUAAUGUUUUAUAGACUUUCUAGCUAUACAACAGUGUUUUAGCUGGUUUUUAUCAGUUAUAUAUCAAUGAAUUUCUAAGUACUUCAACUUGUCUACUUUCAGGUGUCCUUCUCCUACACAUCUCAAAUUUUAGGGCCAGCUGCAUCUUCAUUUGAUCGGUUUCCAGCGGGAUCUUGCAAGAAUGCCUAUUUAAUCUUGCUUAUACUAACGAAAAUGGUGAAUUGUUCUCUUGGAUAUGGGAAGGUUCCAAAAUAAUGUUAAAGCAAGCUACAAUAAUUCA